GAUUUUCUGGGGUGUGCGAGUUGGUUCUAAUCCCUUGACCAACGUUUUUACUGACCUGUCGAUGCGUGAAAAAAUGGUGAGCAAGCCUGUCCAAGAGCAGGAAGCCUGAUAUUUUUUCCGUAGACAAACUUUUUCUCACAGGUCAAUUGUGCAGAAUCAUACCGGCAUCCCGGAGAACAU
rnacentral:other from 1 species